rnacentral:rRNA from 1 species
AGGACGAACGCUGGCGGCGUGCCUAACACAUGCAAGUCGAGCGAGGAGAUCCUUCGGGAUGAUCCUAGCGGCGGACGGGUGAGUAACACGUGGGCAACCUGCCUCAUAGAGAGGAAUAGCCUUCCGAAAGGGAGAUUAAUACCUCAUAACAUUGCAGUUUCGGCAUGGAACAGCAAUUAAAGGAGUAAUCCGCUAUGAGAUGGGCCCGCGGCGCAUUAGCUAGUUGGUGAGGUAACGGCUCACCAAGGCGACGAUGCGUAGCCGACCUGAGAGGGUGAUCGGCCACAUUGGGACUGAGACACGGCCCAGACUCCUACGGGAGGCAGCAGUGGGGAAUAUUGCACAAUGGGGGAAACCCUGAUGCAGCCAACGCCGCGUGAGUGAUGACGGCCUUCGGGUUGUAAAGCUCUGUCUUCAGGGACGAUAAUGACGGUACCUGAGGAGGAAGCCACGGCUAACUACGUGCCAGCAGCUGC